rnacentral:siRNA from 1 species
CUGGAGAAGCGUCCUCAGCGACGG